UACGAAGGGGGCUAGCGUUGUUCGGAAUUACUGGGCGUAAAGGGCGCGUAGGCGGUGUGUCAAGUCAGGCGUGAAAGCCCCGGGCUCAACCUGGGAACCGCGCUUGAGACUGGCACGCUAGAGUUCGGGAGAGGAUGGUGGAAUUCCCAGUGUAGAGGUGAAAUUCGUAGAUAUUCGCAAGAACACCAGUGGCGAAGGCGGCUCACUGGCCCGGUACUGACGCUGAGGUGCGAAAGCGUGGGGAGCAAACGGG
rnacentral:rRNA from 1 species